GGUUAAGCGACUAAGCGUACACGGUGGAUGCCCUGGCAGUCAGAGGCGAUGAAGGGCGUGCUAAUCUGCGAUAAGCGCCGGUAAGGUGAUAUGAACCGUUAUAACCGGCGAUACCCGAAUGGGGAAACCCAGUGUGACUCGUCACACUAUCAUUAACUGAAUCCAUAGGUUAAUGAGGCGAACCGGGGGAACUGAAACAUCUAAGUACCCCGAGGAAAAGAAAUCAACCGAGAUUCCCCCAGUAGCGGCGAGCGAACGGGGAGGAGCCCAGAGCCUGAAUCAGCAUGUGUGUUAGUGGAAGCGUCUGGAAAGGCGCGCGAUACAGGGUGACAGCCCCGUACACAAAAGCGCAUGUGCUGUGAGCUCGAUGAGUAGGGCGGGACACGUGGUAUCCUGUCUGAAUAUGGGGGGACCAUCCUCCAAGGCUAAAUACUCCUGACUGACCGAUAGUGAACCAGUACCGUGAGGGAAAGGCGAAAAGAACCCCGGCGAGGGGAGUGAAAAAGAACCUGAAACCGUGUACGUACAAGCAGUGGGAGCACAGGUUUACCUGUGUGACUGCGUACCUUUUGUAUAAUGGGUCAGCGACUUAUAUUCUGUAGCAAGGUUAACCGUAUAGGGGAGCCGGAGGGAAACCGAGUCUUAAUUGGGCGUUAAGUUGCAGGGUAUAGACCCGAAACCCGGUGAUCUAGCCAUGGGCAGGUUGAAGGUUGGGUAACACUAACUGGAGGACCGAACCGACUAAUGUUGAAAAAUUAGCGGAUGACCUGUGGCUGGGGGUGAAAGGCCAAUCAAACCGGGAGAUAGCUGGUUCUCCCCGAAAGCUAUUUAGGUAGCGCCUCGUGAAUUCAUCUCCGGGGGUAGAGCACUGUUUCGGCUAGGGGGCCAUCCCGGCUUACCAACCCGAUGCAAACUGCGAAUACCGGAGAAUGUUAUCACGGGAGACACACGGCGGGUGCUAACGUCCGUCGUGAAGAGGGAAACAACCCAGACCGCCAGCUAAGGUCCCAAAGUCAUGGUUAAGUGGGAAACGAUGUGGGAAGGCCCAGACAGCCAGGAUGUUGGCUUAGAAGCAGCCAUCAUUUAAAGAAAGCGUAAUAGCUCACUGGUCGAGUCGGCCUGCGCGGAAGAUGUAACGGGGCUAAACCAUGCACCGAAGCUGCGGCAGCGACGCUUAUGCGUUGUUGGGUAGGGGAGCGUUCUGUAAGCCUGUGAAGGUGGCCUGUGAGGGUUGCUGGAGGUAUCAGAAGUGCGAAUGCUGACAUAAGUAACGAUAAAGCGGGUGAAAAGCCCGCUCGCCGGAAGACCAAGGGUUCCUGUCCAACGUUAAUCGGGGCAGGGUGAGUCGACCCCUAAGGCGAGGCCGAAAGGCGUAGUCGAUGGGAAACGGGUUAAUAUUCCCGUACUUGGUGUUACUGCGAAGGGGGGACGGAGAAGGCUAUGUUGGCCGGGCGACGGUUGUCCCGGUUUAAGCGUGUAGGUGUGUGUUCCAGGUAAAUCCGGUUCACUUUAACACUGAGGCGUGAUGACGAGGCACUACGGUGCUGAAGCAACAAAUGCCCUGCUUCCAGGAAAAGCCUCUAAGCAUCAGGUAACAUCAAAUCGUACCCCAAACCGACACAGGUGGUCAGGUAGAGAAUACCAAGGCGCUUGAGAGAACUCGGGUGAAGGAACUAGGCAAAAUGGUGCCGUAACUUCGGGAGAAGGCACGCUGACACGUAGGUGAAGUGAUUUACUCAUGGAGCUGAAGUCAGUCGAAGAUACCAGCUGGCUGCAACUGUUUAUUAAAAACACAGCACUGUGCAAACACGAAAGUGGACGUAUACGGUGUGACGCCUGCCCGGUGCCGGAAGGUUAAUUGAUGGGGUCAGCGCAAGCGAAGCUCCUGAUCGAAGCCCCGGUAAACGGCGGCCGUAACUAUAACGGUCCUAAGGUAGCGAAAUUCCUUGUCGGGUAAGUUCCGACCUGCACGAAUGGCGUAAUGAUGGCCAGGCUGUCUCCACCCGAGACUCAGUGAAAUUGAACUCGCUGUGAAGAUGCAGUGUACCCGCGGCAAGACGGAAAGACCCCGUGAACCUUUACUAUAGCUUGACACUGAACAUUGAGCCUUGAUGUGUAGGAUAGGUGGGAGGCUUUGAAGCGUGGACGCCAGUCUGCGUGGAGCCGACCUUGAAAUACCACCCUUUAAUGUUUGAUGUUCUAACGUGGACCCGUAAUCCGGGUUGCGGACAGUGUCUGGUGGGUAGUUUGACUGGGGCGGUCUCCUCCUAAAGAGUAACGGAGGAGCACGAAGGUUGGCUAAUCCUGGUCGGACAUCAGGAGGUUAGUGCAAUGGCAUAAGCCAGCUUGACUGCGAGCGUGACGGCGCGAGCAGGUGCGAAAGCAGGUCAUAGUGAUCCGGUGGUUCUGAAUGGAAGGGCCAUCGCUCAACGGAUAAAAGGUACUCCGGGGAUAACAGGCUGAUACCGCCCAAGAGUUCAUAUCGACGGCGGUGUUUGGCACCUCGAUGUCGGCUCAUCACAUCCUGGGGCUGAAGUAGGUCCCAAGGGUAUGGCUGUUCGCCAUUUAAAGUGGUACGCGAGCUGGGUUUAGAACGUCGUGAGACAGUUCGGUCCCUAUCUGCCGUGGGCGCUGGAGAACUGAGGGGGGCUGCUCCUAGUACGAGAGGACCGGAGUGGACGCAUCACUGGUGUUCGGGUUGUCAUGCCAAUGGCACUGCCCGGUAGCUAAAUGCGGAAGAGAUAAGUGCUGAAAGCAUCUAAGCACGAAACUUGCCCCGAGAUGAGUUCUCCCUGAGACUUAGAGUCUCCUGAAGGAACGUUGAAGACGACGACGUUGAUAGGCCGGGUGUGUAAGCGCAGCGAUGCGUUGAGCUAACCGGUACUAAUGAACCGUGAGGCUUAACCUU
rnacentral:rRNA from 1 species